rnacentral:rRNA from 1 species
AUGAAAAUCUUAAGCUGGAACUGUCGAGGCUUGGGUCAACCUCGUACAGUUCAAGAGUUUGUGUGUCUCUGGAAGACGCACCAACCCAAUGUUAUCUUUCUUUCUGAGAGAAGGAAAAAUAAAGAAUAUGUUGAUUAUUUGCGUUUUCGGUUGGGUAUGAAAAAUGUGUUUAACGUUUCAGCUCAAGGCAAAGGUGGUGGUCUUGGUGUGUUCUGGGAUGAUGUUUACACUCUGGAAUUGAACAAGUUUGUUCUGCUAAUGGCACAAAGUGGAGGAGUACCUUUGUAUAUGGGGAACCUAAGGCAAGUCAAAGGUAUGUCAUGUGGGAUCUUUUGCGAAGAAUAA